rnacentral:rRNA from 1 species
GACGAACGCUGGCGGCGUGCUUAACACAUGCAAGUCGAACGGAAAGGCCCUGCUUUUGUUGGGUGCUCGAGUGGCGAACGGGUGAGUAACACGCGAGUAACAUGCCCUUGACUUUGGGAUAUAUCUAGGAAACUGGGGCUAAUACCGGAUAGGAUCUCCUGCUGCAUGGUGGGGGUUGGAAAGUUACGGCGGUGGUGGAUGGUCUCGCGGGUUAUCAGCUUGUUGGUGGGGUAGUGGCUUACCAAGGCUUUGACGGGUAGGCUGCCUGGGAGGGUUGACGGCCACCUGGCGCCUGAGAUACGGAGCAGACUCCUAUGUGAGGCAGCAGUCGGGAAUCUUGCACAAUGGGCGGAAGCGUGAUGCAGAAACGCCGCGUGCGGGAUGCCGGCCUUCGGGUUGUAAACCGAUUUCGCCUGUGACGAAGAGUGAGUGACGGUACUGGGUCAAGAAGCACCGGCUAACUACGUG